GCGGAAGUGGUGAAAUUGGUAUACACGCUAUCUUGAGGGGGUAGUGCUCGUCAGGGCAUGCGGGUUCAAGUCCCGCCUUCCGCA
rnacentral:tRNA from 1 species